rnacentral:tRNA from 1 species
GGUUCUGUAGCUCAAUUGGAUAGAGCACCUGACUACGGAUCAGGAGGUUUGGGGUUCGAAUCCCUACAGAAUCAC